CUCGAGGUUGAAAUCGAGUCAUGAUUAAUGAUCAACGUUCACCUUUACCUUGAAUCCACCUGCUCAAGCUACUAUUGUAAGCGAGCCCUCACCUCGCUAUUGCUGACAAAAGAUUGCAGAAGCUCAACUGAGGCCACUUGGAGCAGAUGCUUUAAAGAUCCUCUUCACAGUAAUCGUCAGGCCCUUCGAUGGAGGGUUGAAGGAUGGAGGAACAGAGAGAGGAGGGAUGGAGAGAACAGAGAGGCGAGGAAUGGAAAGAACAGAGGGGGAAAGAGUAGGCCAUAAAAAGGAAUCUCUGGCUUUGGCCGGCAUGCCUGAUGGAAGACCAAAACAUCUGUAAAAGGGAAGAAUACAGAGGGGGGGGGGGGGGGACAGGAGGACAGAGGAGGAGAUAAAGACAGAUAGGGAGGUGAGGAGAGGAGGGGAGAGAGAGGGAGUGGUGAAGAGCUGAGAGAGUGGGAGAAAAGGCAAAUACUUGGUGAGCAGUACAGUAAUGAGAAUGGCAGAGAGCAGAACUGGAUAGGGAGGGAGAGGGAAGAGCAGCAAGGUAAAUUCAAUCAGGAGUGGAGCGAGAAAAUGCAUGAAACUAAAAUGCAUUUAGAGAGUCUGCAAGGAACAUUUUCUGACAGGGAGUGAAAGUAACAGAGCGGGAGAGAAAGAUUCUGGGAGAAAUAAACAGAGAGAAAGAAAGAGAGCAUGAGAUUGAGGCCCCAAUAGAGAAAACAAUUUGGAAUGAGAACGAAGAGACCCAGGGUAGCGACAGAGAGGUCAAUCCAUCACGUAUGUCUCAACCUCACGGUGACCCCAUCCUGGCAGCCAAUGAGGCUGUCCCCUCCCCUGUACCCCCCACCACACACACAUACAGAGGGGAUCGGGUAACGUUUGCCACGGAGUGGAGUCUGGAUGCUCCCUUUGUGUCGCCCAUCAGCGCCUACCAGAAUGCUUUGUUUUUAUGUCUGAUACCCUACCCACUCUGAAGCAAGCAAUGUCUUUUGAUUGAGAAGGGGAGUGACUCCGGUCGCCCUUGAAGUCAGACAAGACGCAACCAGUGGUCAGGAAUGGGUUGAUGAGGGAAGUGAGAAAUCCAUCCGAAUUUAAGAAGGAUUACUCAACGGAGACUGCUCUCAUCUGUGUCGCAGAGGGUCGUUGCACCAAGCUAAGUGUCUCUUCUCUGUUCUAGACAAUAGUUAGUGUGUGUAAAAUUCUCAAGUUGUCAAAGACAGUUCUUGCAAUUGUCAAAACAUACACAGAUUUUGUUAAUCUAUUCAUGACUACAGUGAACUCCAAAAGUAUUUGGUCAAUGACAGACAUUUUCAUGGCCUUGCAUUCAAGCGCUUUGGAUUAAAAUUACACAAUCCCUAAGGUCUAUUGGGUUAAAGUGCAGAUUUAAUUUGAGGUUAUUUUCAUUCAUCUUUAUUUUGUGGACAGAAUAACAUUAUGUAUAAUAAAGUAGUCAUGUUAAAUAUUUGGUCACAUACAGUUUUCUGUGUGUUCAGUGACUACCAGAAGUCUGCGACCCAUUGACUUCAACAGACAUCUUCCCUGGUGAUGAGGAGACAAGAUGUUGCUGUACGCCUCAGAACUCAUCCCGAUGUCAGCAGUUACAUCAUCAAUCAUCAUCAAUGAAGAAAGUGCUCUUCUAGCCAUCACUCUGCGUCUGGCGGACAGUGUCUCAAACCCGUGACCCGGAGCUCCCCAGGUGGACGCACUAGCCACCGCUCCAAAUAGGGACGUCCAAUUUGGAAGGGCGAGUAGUGGUCAUACCAAGGUGCCUGCAGUAUGAUAGUGUCUCACACAUCCACAUCUACUUCCUGGACAGUGUUCCUGAUAUGGCAGACUGUCUUUCUUUUUUUGCAUUGUAAUGUGAUUUAUGUAGCACAAUCUGCUCUCUCUUACCAUUUCAUUUGAAUGAAGUGUCUAAUGUGAGUUAUACAGCACAAGUUGUUCUCUCUUACCAUUGUAUGCGAACAAAGUGUAUAAUGUGAUUUAUAUAGCACAAGCUGUUCUCUGUUACAAAUUCAUGAGAGCGAAGUGUGUAAUGUGAUUUCUAUAGCACAGGUUGUUCUCUCUUACCAUGUGAAUGUAGUGUGUAAUGUGAUUUAUAUAGCACAGGCUGUUCUCUCUUACCAUAUGAAUGUAGUGUGUAAUGUGAUUUAUAUAGCACAGGCUGUUCUCUCUUACCAUGUGAAUGUAGUUUGUAAUGUGAUUUAUAUAGCACAGGCUGUUCUCUCUUACCAUGUGAAUGUAGUUUGUAAUGUGAUUUAUAUAGCACAGGCUGUUCUCUCUUACCAUGUGAAUGUAGUUUGUAAUGUGAUUUAUAUAGCACAGGCUGUUCUCUCUUACCAUGUGAAUGUAGUGUGUAAUGUGAUUUAUAUAGCACAGGCUGUUCUCUCUUACCAUGUGAAUGUAGUGUGUAAUGUGAUUUAUAUAGCACAGGCUGUUCUCUCUUACCAUGUGAAGUGAAGUGUGCAUCGAGAAUGACGACAGCAUCAAGCCUUAAGACGUUGCUGUUAAUUAUCCUACAUUAAAUUUGUCAAUCAUGACUGG
ensembl:lncRNA